UGCAAAGCAAUCAGAAGGAAGGGAUGUGAAACAUUUCCUAUAUCUCCUUGCUGAAAAGAUUUGUUCUCUUCCAACAGGAGCAGUUUGCAGUGAGAAGUACAGGAAUAGUGGACCUAUACAGUUGAUGGAUUCUUGAGGGACUUGGGAUGUUGGUGCUCCUGUUGAAGCCAUGACUACUCUAUGGAAUACGGAGCUGACACAGGAGGAUUUGAAAGAGAAAUGGUGGAUGGCGUGUGUGUGUGUUCCAACUUUCAACACUUGUGUAUUUUUGGAGCUUAUAUUGGCAGCCUAGAUGUGCCCCGGCCAAACAGCAGGGUGGAGAUUGUGACUGCCAUGAGACGUAUCAGGGUUGUGAGGAUUAUUUCAUGCCUAUUUACCUUACUUUGUUCACACAUUUGAUGAAAAUCCAGUUAACAGCACUCAGAAGUAAAUCCCUUUGAAUAAAGUGAUGCUUUCACCCAGGUAUCAGCUAUUCACAAAUAUCCUGACAAACAUAAUGAAAGCAAAACAAAUCUAGGACACCUCCAAAAUAUA